rnacentral:sRNA from 1 species
UGCCUUGAGAGGUGCUUUCUGCAGGCGGGGACGCGGCCAGGCCGGACGCAAGGCCUCCCUCCAAUCUACCGGGCUCAGGGGGACGUCCAGGGGCUGCUCAGUCUACUUGGCGGGCUAGGGAGGGGGAUGGCAGAGGCUGGUUGGGUCUUCUCAGCACACAGUAGGCGCCUAAUUAGCGUGACCUGAAUCAGAGUCCCUUCGGAUUUGCGCCAUGCGCGGCGGGGAGAACCGGCCUCCUGCUCGAGUUCAGAGCUCAUCUGAGGAAUUGGAAUUGAGACACCAAAGCCUAGACGCGUUUCCUGGACGACGGCUUCCCGGCAGGGGCAUCCAGCCAGCGGCCAAGAUGUCGUCAGUGGGGAAGGUGACCCAGGUUCCGAAUGGGAAAGCCUACCAGCAGAUCUUCCAGGCUGAGGUGCAGCUGGUCCACUCCCUGGCGGCCACCAGGAAGCGGGCUGCAGAGCGUUCUGUGACCCUGAAGAGUGGCAGGAUACCCAUGAUGAAGAAGGUGGAGACUCCUGAAGGGGAGGUGAUGUCUCCCCGACAGCAGAAGUGGAUGCACAGCCUCCCCAACGACUGGAUCAUGGAAAACCCUGUUCUCCACAGGGAAAAGGAAAGAGCCAAGAGGGAAAAAGCCCAAGAGAGUGAGAACACCAUCGCUGCCCGAGAAGUGCGGGGUCUCAUGGAUACUAUAGUUCCUGAGAAGAUAAGCACCAGCACCUUUCAAAGGCGAGCAGAACACAAGAGGAGGAGCUACGAGAGCGCUCUGGCCAGCUUUCAGGAGGAGAUUGCGCAGGAAAUGGAACCUCUCAUCGUGGACACAGGGGGACUUUUUUUGAAGAAGCUGACUGAGUCUGAUGAAGAAAUGAACCGUCUCUUCCUAAAGGUGGAAAAUGACACCAACCUUGAGGACUACACCAUCCAAGCCCUGCUGGAGCUGUGGGAUAAGGUGGCCGGGCGGUUACUGCUCCGGAAGCAGGAGAUUAAGGAGCUGGAUGAGGCCCUGCACUCGGUGGAGUUCUCCCGAGCCGAUAAACUAAAAAGCGUGUUGAAGAAAUAUGCAGAAGUCAUAGAGAAAACUUCCUACCUCAUGCGGCCCGACGUGUACAGGCUGAUAAAUGAAGAAGCCAUGGUCAUGAACUAUGCCCUGCUGGGCAACCGGAAGGCUCUCGCCCAGCUGUUUGUCAACCUGAUGGAGUCCACCCUGCAGCAGGAGCUGGACAGCCGCCACCGCUGGCAAGGCUUGGUGGACACCUGGAAGGCUCUCAAGAAGGAGGCCCUGCUGCAGAGUUUCAGUGAGUUCAUGGCCAGUGAGAGUAUCCAUACUCCCCCGGCUGUGACGAAGGAGCUAGAGGUCAUGCUGAAGACCCAGAACGUCCUGCAGCAAAGGCGGCUGAAGCACCUCUGCACCAUCUGUGACCUCCUGCCCCCCAAUUACAGCAAAACUCAGCUGACUGAGUGGCAUUCUUCCCUCAACUCCCUGAACAAGGAGCUAGACACCUACCACGUGGACUGCAUGAUGCGGAUCCGCCUGCUGUAUGAGAAGACGUGGCAGGAGUGCCUGAUGCAUGUGCAGAAUUGUAAGAAGCAGCUGCUGGACUGGAAAGCCUUCACUGAGGAGGAGGCAGAGACCCUGGUGAACCAGUUCUUCUUCCAGAUGGUGGGAGCGCUCCAGGGCAAAGUGGAGGAGGACCUGGAGCUCUUGGACAAAUCCUUCGAGACUCUGGCAGAUCAGACAGAGUGGCAGAGUUCGCACCUCUUCAAGUAUUUCCAGGAGGCGGUACAACUGUGGGAGGCACACCAGAGCGAGCUGUUGGUGCAGGAGCUGGAGCUGGAGAAGAGGAUGGAGCAGCACCGGCAGAAGCACAGCCUGGAGAGCCAGGUGCAGGAGGCCCACCUCGAUAGGCUCUUGGACCAACUGAGGCAGCAAAGUGACAAAGAAACACUGGCGUUUCACCUGGAAAAGGUCAAAGAUUAUCUGAAGAACAUGAAAUCCAGGUAUGAAUGUUUUCACACCCUCCUGACAAAGGAAGUGAUGGAGUACCCAGCGAUCAUGCUGAAAGAACUCAACUCCUACAGCUCUGCCCUCAGCCAAUACUUCUUUGUGCAUGAAAUCUUUGAACAGAACUUGGCUGGAGAAGUCAUUUUCAAAUUCAGGCAACCAGAAGCACAUGAAAAACCCUCCCAGAAGAGAGUGAAAAAACUGAGGAAGAAGCAAGGGUCUAAAGAGGACAUGAGCAGAAGUGAGGAAAGCAUAAGUAGUGGGACAAGUACUGCCAGGUCAGUAGAAGAGGUGGAAGAAGAAAACGAUCAAGAAAUGGAGUCCUUCAUAACUGAAGAGGUGCUGGGGCAGCAGAAAAAAUCUCCACUGCAUGCUAAGAUGGAUGAGUCCAAAGAAGGCUCUAUUCAGGGACUGGAAGAAAUGCAGGUUGAAAGAGAGGGCUCCUUAAACCCAUCCCUGAAUGAGGAGAAUGUGAAGGGUCAAGGAGAAAAGAAGGAGGAGUCAGAGGAGGAAGAUGAGAAGGAGGAAGAGGAGAAGGAGGAGGAGAAGCUGGAGGAAGAGAAGGAGGAGAAGGAGGCACAGGAAGAGCAAGAGAGUUUAUCUGUGGGUGAGGAAGAAGACAAGGAAGAGGGUCUAGAGGAGAUAUGCUAUGAGGACAUGGAGUCCUUCACAAUCUCCAGUGGAAACACUUAUUUUGUCUUUGUACCCCUGGAAGAAGAAGAGCAUUGCAGGAAGUCCCAUUCCACCUUCUCAGCCAUGUUCAUCAACGACACUUCCAGUGCCAAGUUCAUAGAACAAGUGACAAUUCCAUCGAGACUAAUUUUAGAAAUGAAGAAACACCGGGCAUGGUGGUGUGUGCCUGUAAUUCCAGCUACUCAAGAGGCUGAAGCAGGAGAAUUGCCUGAACCCAGGAGGCGGAGGUUACAGUGAACCAAGAGAGUGCUGCUGCACUCCCGACUGGGAGACAGAGUGAAACUCCGUCUCAAAAAAAAAUUAAAUUAUAUAUUCUAUAUAAGGCUUUGUCAGAUAAAUAAAUGGCAAAUGUUC